UGGGAGAACACUAAUUACACCUUUGAAACUUGUAUCUAGAAAUCAUGAAGAUGUCGGAUCCUUAUAGGUAAACUGAACUCUUGCUGAUUGUUUUUCAUUGCAAUUUCACAAGUAAUGUUGGUUGCUUCAAUUCAUGGAAUUGGUUUCAUGAAUAAUAUUUCUUCGUCUUAUUGUAAGUUUCCAACCAAAAUAGCAACCCAUUCAGUUGCCUCUCUCUCUCUCUCUCUCUCUCUCUCUCUCUCAUAAACAUACAGACAAUAACAAAUCAAUGGGAGACUUGCCACCUCCACCUUUCUCUCUUUCUACCUUUAAACUGGUGGGUUUUAAGAACUAACAACCAUUUUUCGCAUUUGCAAGAGCAUAUUGAUUAACAACUUAAGUGAAUAUAACGACACAUUGAGAUUAAUUUAGUCUCUUGGAACUGUAGGAAAUUGUCCAUUUUUUCUUAUUCUCACCAACAAGGUUUAAUCAUUUAUGUUAUGACUAACUAACCGUAAAAUUAAUCCCCACAAUUAAGGCAACUCUAAGAUUUUAAGAGCUCUGUACAAAACGAGUAAGGAACAAAAAUUGAAACAAAAGCUAAAAUUUUGAUAGCCCCUGUUCUAAUCCACUCAUAACCUUGUUGAAAUCUGACUUAAAUUCAAAGUUCAUUCGUGUGAGUACUUGCUUGGUGACUUGGGAUUUUGAAUUAAUGCCAUCUUCUAUUCCACCCUAGAUUUUUCCUGCAAGGACGUCCUUAUUCUUAAACCAAAAAAAAAAAAGAAAAAAAAAAGGCCAUCUUUUCUAGAGCAAUUUUAUGAUACAGUUCAAUGAUGGAACUAAUCAUCAUGUACAGCUCAUAACUUCAUUAAAUUUGUAUAAUUGAGUGCAUAAUGAUUUUAUUUUUUCAAUAAUACGAGGGACACCAAAUUUGAUGAUUUGGAUUCCGAAUUAUGUGAACAUGUAUUUACGAGUCAUUAUUUCUUUUUAGAAAAGGAAAUAAAUUAUUAUUAUUAUUAUUUUAAUUAAUCAAAAGUCCCAAACAAUUAGUACCGAUGUAUCCCAACACCACCACCUAACCUCCCUUGCUCCGCCGUGCUGAACCACCAUAGAGCUCCAACUCCAACUCUGACACAAUUAUAAGUCAUAUUUUUGCAGCAUCCCAUGCAAAUUACCUUCCCUAUAUUUUCCCUAAUCCCACCACAACCAUAGUCUAGCCUUUAGGCCUCAUAUAUGUAAAUGAGGGGGAGAUGAAGAUCUGGAAGGGCUUUGACUUCGAGAGACUUUGGAAAAGGCUAAAGAAGAGAGAAAUUUUUUAAAAGAAGUCAAAAUUGACAAAAUUGCCCUUAUUUAUUUUUGGAUUUCCUAAGGAAUUCUUUACAUUUGCAUGUCUUUAGUUUGAAAGUUGAGAGUUUUUUUUUAUAUAAUUUUUUUAUAAAAGUUUUGGCUUUUUUCAAAAAUGCAAGUUGUUUUGUGGCUAAAACCUAAAUUUACUUAGAAGGGGGAAUGGAAAUUAAAAGAAAUAUGGCCAAAAAAAAAAGAAAAAGGAUACUGAUCUGAUCUGCUUGGGUUAUAUAGAAUGGUGGGGGAGCAAUUGUUAGGCGGUGGUGAGAUAUUUUGGUUUUGAUUUCGGACUUUGGUUAAAUCAAUAUUAUUGUUUUAUUUAUUUAAAAAAAUUUAACCUUUAAAAUACAUGUUAGAAAUUUUGUUAAAUUUGAAGUAAUGAUGUGGGAUAUGCCAUAUAUUUGGGAUGCAAAUUUAGUACGUAAAUUUGAUGUUCUUAGCAAUUUUCUUUAUAAAAGCUGCUGAUG
rnacentral:lncRNA from 1 species